GCGAGCAAGUGACGCGGUGCUGUUACUGACUUCUGUCAACUGACUUCUGACUCCUGGAUGGUAGGAGAGCGUUCCGUAGGCCUGUGAAGGUGGGGUGUGAACCCUGCUGGAGGUAUCGGAAGUGCGAAUGCUGACAUGAGUAGCGAUAAACAAGGUGAAAGUCCUUGUCGCCGUAAGCCCAAGGUUUCCUGCGCCACGUUCAUCGGCGCAGGGUGAGUCGGCCCCUAAGGCGAGGCCGAAAGGCGUAGUCGAUGGGAAGAAGGCGUGAUAACGGAAGACUGGCUUGCCAGUCCCAAGUGCGUGAUACCAGGCUCCCAGGAAAAGCCUCUAAGCUUCAGUUGCAGGACGACCGUACCGCAAACCGACACAGGUGGGCGAGCUGAAUAUGCUCAGGCGCUUGAGAGAACUCGGGUGAAGGAACUCGGCAAAUUGACACCGUAACUUCGGGAUAAGGUGUGCCUCCGGUAGGUGAAGGCCCUCGCGGCCGGAGCCCAGGGAGGUUGCAAAGAAUCGGUGGCUGCGACUGUUUAACAAAAACACAGCACUCUGCUAAGACGAAAGUCGACGUAUAGGGUGUGACGCCUGCCCGGUGCCGGAAGGUUAAGUGAUGGGGUGCAAGCUCUUGAUCGAAGCCCCGGUAAACGGCGGCCGUAACUAUAACGGUCCUAAGGUAGCGAAAUUCCUUGUCGGGUAAGUUCCGACCCGCACGAAUGGCGUAACGAUGGCCACACUGUCUCCUCCUGAGACUCAGCGAAGUUGAAAUGUUUGUGAAGAUGCAAUCUUCCCGCGGCUAGACGGAAAGACCCCAUGAACCUUUACUGUAGCUUUGCAUUGGACUGUGACGCUGUCUGUGUAGGAUAGCUGGGAGGCUUUGAAGCCGGGUCGCCAGACUCGGUGGAGCCAACGUUGAAAUACCAGCCUGACGACGUUGCGGUUCUAACCUGGGCCCCUUGACGGGGUCGGGGACCGUGCAUGGUAGGCAGUUUGACUGGGGCGGUCUCCUCCCAAAGGGUAACGGAGGAGUGCGAAGGUCACCUAGGUACGGUCGGAAAUCGUACUCAUAGUGCAAUGGCAUAAGGUGGCUUGACUGCGAGACUGACAAGUCGAGCAGGUGCGAAAGCAGGUCAUAGUGAUCCGGUGGUUCUGUAUGGAAGGGCCAUCGCUCAACGGAUAAAAGGUACUCUGGGGAUAACAGGCUUAUCGCGUCCAAGAGUUCACAUCGACGACGCGGUUUGGCACCUCGAUGUCGGCUCAUCGCAUCCUGGGGCUGGAGCAGGUCCCAAGGGUUUGGCUGUUCGCCAAUUAAAGCGGUACGCGAGCUGGGUUCAAAACGUCGUGAGACAGUUUGGUCCCUAUCUGCCGUGGGCGUAGGAGAAGUGAGAGGAUCUGUCCUUAGUACGAGAGGACCGGGAUGGACGCACCGCUGGUGUACCAGUUGUCUCGCCAGAGGCAUCGCUGGGUAGCUAUGUGCGGAACGGAUAACCGCUGAAAGCAUCUAAGCGGGAAGCCAACCUCAAGACGACUUCUCCCGGGCGCAAGCCCCUGAAGCCCCCUCGAAGACUACGAGGUUGAUAGGCCGGAGGUGUACGCGCUGUGAGGCGCUCAGCUGACCGGUACUAAUCGGGCGUGCGGCUUGGUC
rnacentral:rRNA from 1 species